UACGGGGGGAGCAAGCGUUGUUCGGAUUUACUGGGCGUAAAGCGUGCGCAGGCGGUUAUGCAAGACAGAUGUGAAAUCCCCGGGCUCAACCCGGGAACUGCAUUUGUGACUGCAUGGCUAGAGUACGGUAGAGGGGGAUGGAAUUCCGCGUGUAGCAGUGAAAUGCGUAGAUAUGCGGAGGAACACCGAUGGCGAAGGCAAUCCCCUGGACCUGUACUGACGCUCAUGCACGAAAGCGUGGGGAGCAAACAGG
rnacentral:rRNA from 1 species